GGAUUGUGGCUCAGUGGUAGAGUGCUUGCCUAGCAUGUGUGAGACACUGGGUUUGAUCCUCAGCACCA
rnacentral:tRNA from 1 species